UACCCCCCUUUUUUGUGUAAAUUUUUUUUCUUCUUUUAUUUACUAUAAUGUGCAAUUGGGCUUGCUUGCGAAGAUAGUUAACUUGUUAUGCUUUUGGAUACUCUUUUAUUUGGGGGAGUUGGGGUGAUACUAAAUGGAAGGCCUUGCUGAAAUUUCUUGAAAGGAAUCUUAGAAGACAUGGUUGACUGGACCGACUAUUCUGUUGAUAAGCUUUGGUCAAGGCCCUUAUUUGGCUGACUCUGGCACUAAUGGUUGAGGAUAUGACUGGAUCAAUGUUUGCAAAACGGAAUCCCAACUGCCUAAAUAUAAUCCUUGCUAGAUAGAAAUGAUGGGGUAUCAGGACUUUUGGUCUCACAUCGAAAUGUUAAGAUUUUGAUACUUUGAUUAGGGGAAAAGACGAACAACGUGCUGCAGAAUAAAGAGGCCCCAGUUGGUGCUUCACUACUUUUGAGCCUCGAUAAAUGACAGGAGGUUAUGUUGUUUUUAUGACCUGGCCUUUCGUUUCUUGAUUUCGAGUUUAUAGAUCUCUUUUACUAGGUUUUAUAUUGACUGUCAUAGAAGAAUAAGAUCACACCGGCAAUAAGAACCUCUUUCUGGUCCAACUCCUCUUCCUUUUACUAGGUCUAUUAUUUGUGCCACUGACUAAGACAUUUCAUCAGGAGCCGAAUCUGAGCUGAGAGAUGAACAAUUUGUUCAAAACCUUUCUUUUCUUUCGAGGCAUACUCUUUCUCG